rnacentral:rRNA from 1 species
GCAGGCUGCAACUCGCCUGCAUGAAGCUGGAAUUGCUAGUAAUCGCGGAUCAGCACGCCGCGGUGAAUACGUUCCCGGGCCUUGUACACACCGCCCGUCACACCAUGAGAGUUGGGGAUACCCAAAGCCCGUGAGCCAACUGUAAAGAGGCAGCGGUCUAAGGUAGAAUCAAUGAUUGGGGUGAAGUCGUAACAAGGUAAC